rnacentral:misc_RNA from 1 species
CAGAGUCAAAACAUCAAAUUCCCCUGCAGAGAACAAAACAAAAGCCCAAGUGAGAAACAAAAUAACAAUAAUGACGAUAUGAAAAUGCCAGAUCAGAUUGGUCAUCACGCUAACUGAAUUCAAAUCACUUUAGAAGAUGAACAAGAAGAAGAAGAAGAGUAUAAUUCGUGUGUAUAUAACGCUAGCCACAGCAAGUGAAUCUGAAAGCAUUUCACAUCUAAAGAGAGUGUCACAUCAUUGAAUUACUCAAGUUCAUUUGUCCUGAACUACUAGGACACAGAUCAAUCCCUCUGCUUUAGCUUACAUGUCCAAAAAGCGCAGUUCUUUGCACAGAAAAUUAUAGUAAUCCAAUACCAUAUUCUCAGUUUGACUUUCCAUUCUAAAAAAAGGCAAUUAAAUUCCACAGCUUUCCCACUAACCAAACAGAUGAAACUGAAUCAAAUCGGAGAAAACCGCCAUUUUAGGAAACAGAUAGAAGUGAAUUCCAAAAACAAUUCAGUGAAACAAACAGUAGAUCGAAGCAACAAAACACUUUAAUUUUCACUAUUCAUUGAAAAUGAGCUUACCAAACAAAACCAAAAUAAAAGGAAUGAAUCUAAAAAGAGAUUUACAAGAAUCCAAACACAAAAAAGCAAUGAAUCAACACCUCAAGUUUCGCAGAAACGACAA